AGUGAACGCUGGCGGUAGGCCUAACACAUGCAAGUCGAACGGCAACACGAUGCAGCCUGCCGCUUUGGUGAGGAGAGGCGCACGGGGGAGAGAUGUACGGGAAACUGUCCGUUGGCGGGGGGGAACUCCUGGAAACAGUAACUCUAAUCCCACAAACGACCUACACGUAAAAGCGGGAGAUUUUCGGCCCUUGCGCGCGUGAGUGCGCAGAUGUGGGAUUAGCUAGUUGGGGGGGUAAGGGCCCACCAAGGCGACGAUCCCUAGCUGGUCUGAGAGGAUGACCAGCCACACUGGAACUGAGACACGGUCCAGACUCCUACGGGAGGCAGCAGUGGGGAAUAUUGCACAAUGGGCGCAAGCCUGAUCCAGCCAUGCCGCGUGGAUGAAGAAGGCCUUCGGGUUGUAAAGUCCUUUUGGCGGGGAAGAAGAGAGUAAGGUUAAUACCUCUGCUCUUUGACGGUACCCGAAGAAGAAGCACCGGCUAACUCCGUG
rnacentral:rRNA from 1 species